CACGUAGUUAGCCGUGGCUUCCUCCUUGGGUACCGUCAUUAUCGUCCCCAAAGACAGAGCUUUACAACCCGAAGGCCUUCAUCACUCACGCGGCAUUGCUGCAUCAGGGUUUCCCCCAUUGUGCAAUAUUCCCCACUGCUGCCUCCCGUAGGAGUCUGGGCCGUGUCUCAGUCCCAAUGUGGCCGAUCACCCUCUCAGGUCGGCUACGCAUCGUCGCCUUGGUGAGCCAUUACCUCACCAACUAGCUAAUGCGCCGCGGGUCCAUCUUAUAGCGGAUUGCUCCUUUGGUUAUCGAUUCAUGCGAAUCAACAACUUUAUGCGGUAUUAAUCUUCCUUUCGGAAGGCUAUUCCCCUCUAUAAGGCAGGUUACCCACGUGUUACUCACCCGUCCGCCGCUAAUCCGUUCCCGAAGGAACUUCAUCGCUCGACUUGCAUGUGUUAGGCACGCCGCCAGCGUUCGUCCUGAGCCAGGAUCAAACUCU
rnacentral:rRNA from 1 species